rnacentral:misc_RNA from 1 species
GAUGAAGAACGUAGCGAAAUGCGAUAAGUAAUGUGAAUUGCAGAAUUCAGUGAAUCAUCGAAUCUUUGAACGCAUCUUGCGCUCCUUGGUAUUCUGAGGAGCAUGCCUGUUUGAGUGUCAUUAAAUUCUCAACUACACUGACUUUGAAUUGGUGUGGCUUGGAUUUGGGGGGAAAAUUGUUGUGGGCUUUUUGUAUAGUCUGCUCCCCUGAAAUUGAUUAGCGGUACCUUUGUGGAACUGUCUACAGGUGUGAUAAUUAUCUACAUCUUAGACAUCUGCUGGAAUACUGCUUUCUAAACCUUACUUGUAUUGACAAUCUUGACCUCAAAUCAGGUAGGACUACCCGCUGAACUUAAGCAUAUCAAUAAGCGGAGGA